CCGGGCGCACGGGUGCGUAACGCGUAUGCAACCUACCAUCAACAGGGGGAUAACACUGAGAAAUUGGUACUAAUACCCCAUAAUAUCUCAUGCGGCAUCGCAUGGGGUUGAAAACUCCGGUGGUUGAUGAUGGGCAUGCGUUGUAUUAGCUGGUUGGUGAGGUAACGGCUCACCAAGGCGACGAUACAUAGGGGGACUGAGAGGUUAACCCCCCCACAUUGGUACUGAGACACGGACCAAACUCCUACGGGAGGCAGCAG
rnacentral:rRNA from 1 species